AGAACUAGGAGAGCUCUGUGUAAAUACUGGACUUGUACUCAAUUCUCCAACAGAACUCGCCAGUGCUAAUCAAUGUGAACCUGGGUCGGCAUUCCAGGGACUCAAAGGCUCAGAAUACUGACUUUACAGAAAAAAUGAAUGGGACAGAUGCGACUUGUGUGUAUUUUCUCAGUAUUCAGAUCUCUCAGCCCUGGCUUUCAAAGCUGUGGAGUGUGACAAUGGUGUUUGUGUGACUGAUAUCAAACGCCAUUAUCACACUAAAUAGCUAUGGUAAGACACUUUGCUUCUUCCACCUGUCAAAACCUUGUGACUGAAAGAUUCUACACUGGCUCACCCAAAGCCCAAAUGAAUGUUCUGUAUAAAGUGUUCAGUACAGACCCUCUCAUGUACUGUAUAUGUGCUGAAGGAGUAUAAUACAGCUUUCCAAAGUCUGGACUCAACAAACCAUUGUUUGCCAUCUACAUUAUGAGUUUACAAAGAAAUAUGCUUGCGUUCUUCCUGUGCUUUUGAAGACAAGUUGUGAGUGAGCAAAAUGUGUAUUUUAAAAAAAUCUUAAAGCUCAUACUGUAAAUGUGUCUUCAUCAACAACAAUGUGCAAAGGUGUGGGGGGGUAAUGUGUAAUUAUAUGGGCUUAGUGUAAUUGUGGUUGGGUAAAUAUAUAGGGCUCUGGUGUAGUUGUGUGAAUUUCUGUAGGAGUGGUGUGAAAAUAAAACGUACACUACUUAUA